UACGAAGGGAGCUAGCGUUGUUCGGAAUCACUGGGCGUAAAGCGCACGUAGGCGGAUGUGUCAGUCAGGGGUGAAAUCCCGGAGCUCAACUUCGGAACUGCCUUUGAUACAGCACGUCUUGAGUCCGAUAGAGGUGGGUGGAAUUCCUAGUGUAGAGGUGAAAUUCGUAGAUAUUAGGAAGAACACCGGUGGCGAAGGCGGCCCACUGGAUCGGUACUGACGCUGAGGCGCGAAAGCGUGGGUAGCAAACGGG
rnacentral:rRNA from 1 species